GUGGGGAAUAUUGGGCAAUGGGGGCAACCCUGACCCAGCGACGCCGCGUGAGGGAAGAAGGCCUUAGGGUCGUAAACCUCUGUUGUGUGGGAAGAAGAGCGUGACGGUACCACACGAGGAAGUCCCGGCUAACUACGUGCCAGCAGCCGCGGUAAUACGUAGGGGACGAGCGUUGUCCGGAUUUACUGGGCGUAAAGGGCGCGUAGGCGGUCAUUUAAGUCAGCUGUGAAAUGGUGCGGCUUAACCGCAUCAUGCGGUUGAAACUGGAUGACUGGAGUGCUGGAGAGGCAAGUGGAAUUCCCAGUGUAGCGGUGAAAUGCGUAGAUAUUGGGAAGAACACCGGUGGCGAAGGCGACUUGCUGGCCAGCAACUGACGCUGAGGCGCGAAAGCCAGGGGAGCAAACGGGAUUAGAUACCCUUGUAGUCC
rnacentral:rRNA from 1 species